rnacentral:lncRNA from 1 species
CAGAGUAAUUGAAUGUAUGAGGGAUUAAAUUUAAGGUACUCUUUAAUUCCUUCCUUUUUCUCUUUGAGUUCCUCUCACUAUAGUCAAGAAUAACUCACUAACAUAUAUCUUAUUCAAAAGUUAGUUCCUUCUAUGAAUCUUUCAUAUUUAUUAGCUUAAAAAUAUCUAUAAUUAAUGCUCUAGCAGUUGGAAGCUUGAAAAUAGUCGUUGGAAUGC